UACGAAGGGUGCGAGCGUUAUUCGGAAUUAUUGGGCGUAAAGGGUGCGUAGGCGGUAUGCUAAGUCAACUGUUAAAGACCUCAGCCUAACUGGGGAUCGGCGGUAGAUACUGGUGUGCUAGAGGGUGGAAGAGAGAAGUGGAAUUCUUGGAGUAGCGGUAAAAUGCGUAGAUCUCAAGAGGAACACCGAUGGCGAAGGCAGCUUCUUGGUCCACAUCUGACGCUGAUGCACGAAAGCAUGGGGAGCAAACAGG
rnacentral:rRNA from 1 species